UACGAAGGGGGCUAGCGUUGCUCGGAUUUACUGGGCGUAAAGCGCACGUAGGCGGAUCUUUAAGUCAGGGGUGAAAUCCCGAGGCUCAACCUCGGAACUGCCUUUGAUACUGGAGAUCUUGAGUUCGGGAGAGGUGAGUGGAACUGCGAGUGUAGAGGUGAAAUUCGUAGAUAUUCGCAAGAACACCAGUGGCGAAGGCGGCUCACUGGCCCGAUACUGACGCUGAGGUGCGAAAGCGUGGGGAGCAAACAGG
rnacentral:rRNA from 1 species